AACGCACAUUGCGCUCCUUGGUAUUCCGAGGAGCAUGCCUGUUCGAGCGUCAUUACAACCCUCAAGCCUUGCUUGGUAUUGGGCGUCAUCAGCGACGAUGUGCCUCAAAGUUAGUGGCGGUGCUGCCUAGCUUCUAAGCGUAGUAAAAAUCCUCGCUAUAGAUGCCUGGUGGAUACUUGCCGUAGCCUUAAAAUUUUCAAGGUUGACCUCGGAUCAGGUAGGGAUACCCGCUGAACUUAA
rnacentral:misc_RNA from 1 species